UACGUAGGGGGCAAGCGUUGUCCGGAUUUAUUGGGCGUAAAGAGCUCGUAGGCGGUGUGUCGCGUCGGUCGUGAAAACUUGGGGCUUAACCCUGAGCUUGCGGUCGAUACGGGCAUCACUGGAGUUCGGCAGGGGAGACUGGAAUUCCUGGUGUAGCGGUGAAAUGCGCAGAUAUCAGGAGGAACACCGGUGGCGAAGGCGGCAUCCUGGACCGGCAUUGACGCUGAGGCGCGAAAGCCAGGGGAGCAAACGGG
rnacentral:rRNA from 1 species